rnacentral:rRNA from 1 species
UACGUAGGCAGCGAGCGUUGUUCGGAGUUACUGGGCGUAAAGAGCUCGUAGGUGGUUUGUCGCGUUGUUCGUGAAAACUCACAGCUCAACUGUGGGCGUGCGGGCGAUACGGGCAGACUAGAGUACUGCAGGGGAGACUGGAAUUCCUGGUGUAGCGGUGAAAUGCGCAGAUAUCAGGAAGAACACCCGUGGCUAAGGCGGCUCUCUAGUACGGUACUGACGCUGAGACGCGAAAGCGUGGGGAGCGAACAGG